CGCUUCCAGUAAUGGUGUAAGAAAAAAAAGAUCACAGUUAAUUUCCCUCUAGCCUAGAUCAGAAUAUACCAUUGCACGGAAUACUGUUUUAACAAGCUUCCGUCUAUGCCAGGACAUAUCUACAUAUCCCUUGUCUGACAGGAGUUUAAUGUUCAUUUCUAUUCGUGCAACCUGCCACAAGCCUGCAGGACGAAGAGCGCUCACCUACGUUCUGUGCCAGAGGCCGACAGUGACUAUUGCUAUCCUGGAACACUCCUUUCUUAGUGGGGUCAACAGCCGCGUUCCCCAUGGUUACUUUGGUGGCAGUAGAGAAGGAAGGGAAACUGUCCCGAGCGCCAUCAAGCUGUCUGACUGCAGGGGGAGGGAAGGGGCUGUUCCGCGCCUACCGGGAAGCCACCAGGUAGCUGUCUAAGGUGCUGAAACCGGACGCCGCGGAGUCCAUAGGGGACAGCAAAACGACCACUCACGGAUCCUUCAUCUGCUUCCCAGCAACUUCCAGGGAAGUAGAAUGACUGGGUGGAACUGGGGACACAGUUUAGGAUUGAAAGGCAGUAACUUAAGAAGAGGAGUAACCCUACUGGUAGUGCAAGGCUGUCAUCGUGGCCCAGGUGCGGUGCGGUGACGGGAGGGCCACACUGAUUCGGAAUCGGGGUGCCCUGCUUGUCGGGGUGCACUCUGAAGAGCAGAGAGGUCCCGGAGCUGUGUGCUCCUCCUAUCUUUCUCCCUGCCUAGUUGAUAGAUAAAUAAUGACUUUUUGGUAACUCCUGAUUGCCUUCAGCUGUCACAUCAAAGUGUGGGCUAGAUAGAUUUGGUCUGGCUUGCUGUUGAUGACAAUAGUGAUUCCAUUUUUUU